rnacentral:piRNA from 1 species
UUCAUCAGAGAUCUGAAUGAG